AACCGCUUGAUGAUUAUUUACGCAUUUCGAAGUUUUACCUUAAGUGUCACCGCUGCCGUAGCUCGUCCUGUUUGUAACAAUCAUGCUCUUUUCCAGCGAGGCCCAACUGGGCAGUUUUUAUAUUUACGAAUAGGAAAUUUAACAUGGCUACUUCUACUGGUACCGUAAAAUGGUUUAACGACGCUAAAGGCUUCGGUUUCAUCGAACAAGAAAACGGCCCUGACGUUUUUGCUCACUUCAGCCAAAUCCAAGGCGAAGGUUUCAAAAGCCUGGCCGAAGGCCAACGCGUUGAGUUCACUGUGACUCAAGGCCAAAAAGGUCCACAAGCCGAAAACAUCGUCAGACUGUAAUAGUCCACGAUAGACGCUUACCAAAAAGCCCUGCUGAUUUUCAGCAGGGCUUUUUU
rnacentral:sRNA from 1 species